UACGUAGGGUGCAAGCGUUGUCCGGAAUUAUUGGGCGUAAAGGGCUCGUAGGCGGUCCAUCGCGUCGGGAGUGAAAAGCUGGGGCUUAACCCCAGUCCUGCUUCCGAUACGGGUGGACUAGAGGUAGGUAGGGGAGAUCGGAAUUCCUGGUGUAGCGGUGAAAUGCGUAGAUAUCAAGAGGAACACCUGCGGCGAAGGCGGGUUGCUGGGCCGACACUGACGCUGAGGCGCGAAAGCUAGGGGAGCGAACGGG
rnacentral:rRNA from 1 species